AAAAAAAUUCAAGAAAAAAUGGCAGAAGAAGUAUCCUCAUCUGUCUAGCAAAAAGAAGUGGAAAUUCUUCAGGAAAAAGUCACAAAGAGAUUUCAAGAAAUCAGACAGGUAUUACAUCUGCAAGAAAAAGGUCACUAUGCAAAACAAU
rnacentral:sRNA from 1 species